rnacentral:rRNA from 1 species
UACGUAGGGGGCAAGCGUUGUCCGGAAUCAUUGGGCGUAAAGCGCGCGUAGGCGGCUCGGUAAGUCCGCUCUGAAAGUCCAGGGCUUAACCCUGGAAAGCGGGUGGAUACUGCCGGGCUUGAAUCCGGAAGAGGCGAGUGGAAUUCCUGGUGUAGCGGUGGAAUGCGCAGAUAUCAGGAGGAACACCAAUAGCGAAGGCAGCUCGCUGGGACGGUAUUGACGCUAAGGCGCGAAAGCGUGGGGAGCAAACAGG